UACGAAGGGUGCAAGCGUUAAUCGGAAUUACUGGGCGUAAAGCGUGCGUAGGCGGUUGCUUAAGUCAGAUGUGAAAGCCCUGGGCUCAACCUGGGAAUGGCAUUUGAAACUGGGCGCUAGAGUGUGAUAGAGGAUGGCGGAAUUCCCGGUGUAGCGGUGAAAUGCGUAGAGAUCGGGAGGAACAUCCGUGGCGAAGGCGGCCAUCUGGAUCAACACUGACGCUGAGGCACGAAAGCGUGGGGA
rnacentral:rRNA from 1 species